CGAGACAGCGGUAGCGGAGUUUCUACUUCCGGGCCGGGACUGGCAGAGAGACGAAGAGAGUUCCAGUCGUCGAAUUGUAUCGAUCAAGAGGAAAACAGAGGAGGAGAAGAAAAGGAUUAAAAUAGCAUUGAUUUGCACUUGUUAUCGAACCAACAACGAUAACAGCAAGCCCUUAUGCAGCAAGCUUUGCUUCAACAGCAUCACAUGUACCACCCAGGCGUACUUGCUGCUGCCAUGUCUCAGGUGGAGCCGAUCCCUAGUGGAAAUCUUCCUCCUGGUUUUGAUUCGUCUACUUGCCGCAGUGUUUAUGUAGGAAAUAUUCAUGUAAAUGUCACUGAGAAACUUCUUGCUGAAGUUUUCCAGACUGCUGGUCCUCUUGCAGGAUGCAAGCUCAUCAGAAAGGAUAAGUCAUCAUAUGGUUUUUUGGACUACCAUGAUCGAUCAUCUGCAGCGCUCGCAAUAAUGACACUCCAUGGACGGCAACUGUACGGUCAGGCACUUAAGGUGAAUUGGGCAUAUGCAAAUAGCCAAAGGGAGGAUACAUCAGGCCACUUCCAUAUAUUUGUUGGUGAUUUGAGUCCAGAGGUUACUGAUGCAACUUUAUUUGCAUGCUUCUCGGUCUAUGAUAGUUGCUCUGAUGCAAGGGUGAUGUGGGAUCAUAAAAGUGGCCGCACAAAAGGAUAUGGCUUUGUUUCCUUCCGUAAUCAACAGGAUGCACAGAGUGCUAUCAAUGACUUGACUGGUAAAUGGCUAGGGAAUAGGCAAAUAAGAUGCAACUGGGCAACUAAAGGCUCUGGGUCCAGUGAAGACAAGCAAAUUGGUGAUAACCAAAAUGCAGUUGUACUUACCAGUGGAUCUUCAGAAGGAGGUCAAGAAAAUACUAAUGAGGAUG
rnacentral:misc_RNA from 1 species